rnacentral:rRNA from 1 species
UACGGAGGGUGCAAGCGUUAUCCGGAUUUACUGGGUUUAAAGGGUGUGUAGGCGGACUUUUAAGUCAGAGGUGAAAUCUCCGGGCUCAACCCGGAAACUGCCCCUGAUACUAUUAGUCUUGAAUAUUGAUGAGGUGGGCGGAACGGGUCAUGUAGCGGUGAAAUGCUUAGAGAUGACCCGGAACACCAAUUGCGAAGGCAGCUCACUGGGCAAUUAUUGACGCUGAGGCACGAAAGCGUGGGGAAUCAAACAGGAGUUAGA